UGACGAAUAUUGGUCAAUGGGCGAGAGUCUGACCCAGCCAAGUAGCGUGCAGGAUGACGGCCCUAUGGGUUGUAAACUGCUUUUAUACGGGGAUAAAGUGAGGGACGUGUCCCUUAUUGUAGGUACCAGCAUGAAUAAAGACCGGCUAAUUCCAGUG
rnacentral:rRNA from 1 species